CUCUACUUCGCGCUUCGCUAUGGUUCUGUUGCUGUUUGUGUCUGCACUGCAGUACGACGAAAAGCGCGGUCAUGUGGCUCGCGAUUCAUAUUCUGGAAAUAUUGUUUGCUCAUGGGGACGAGGGGAGGAUGGCCAACUAGGCCAUGGGGAUGCUGAAGAUCAUUCAUCACCUACACAUUUGAGUGCACUGGAUGGUCAAGAAGUAGUAUCUGUUACUUGUUGAGCUGUCACACAACUGCAUAUUCUGAAUCACUUAAGGAGAGCUGGGGAUGGGGUGACUUUGGGAGGUUGGGUCAUGGCAACUCUAGUGACGUCUUUAUGCCUCAACCAAUCAAAACUUUACAGGGUUUGAGAAUAAAGCAAAUUGCUUGUGGGGACAGCCAUUGUUUGGCUGUGACUAUGGAAGGAGGAAUCCAGAGAUCCUUUGCUUGAUUAAAGCUGGGGGAGAAUUCAAAAUGGUCAACUUGGUCUUGGCACCACUGAGGAUUCUCAUUCUGCCACAGAAGAUCCACGAAUGUCAGGUACUGGCAAGUAACUUAUCUGGAAUACUGUCAAUAAGGAUCUUUGUUGCUCACUGCUUAGAUGAGUGAUCCUUCACCAACAUACUUUUUGAGAAAGAUUUGUGUGUUCACUACUGCCAGACAUUUAGCUCAAUCUUUCUUCCUAAGCUGCAUCAAUGUUUUGACUAUUUGAGGCCUUUACAGUGAGCUCCCAGUUAAUGAGGAACAUCUUGCAGCAUACUUUGUAGAAGGAUAAGGGAUUUACUUAAA